rnacentral:rRNA from 1 species
AGGACGAACGCUGGCGGCGUGCUUAACACAUGCAAGUCGAGCGGAAAGGCCCUUCGGGGUACUCGAGCGGCGAACGGGUGAGUAACACGUGAGCAACCUGCCCUUAGCUCCGGGAUAGCUCCGGGAAACCGGAAUUAAUACCGGAUAGGACCACUUUAGACAUCUGUUGUGGUGGAAAGAAUUUCGGCUAGAGAUGAGCUCGCGGCCUAUCAGCUUGUUGGUGGGGUAAUGGCCUACCAAGGCGACGACGGGUA